rnacentral:rRNA from 1 species
AGUGAACGCUGGCGGUAGGCCUAACACAUGCAAGUCGAACGGCAGCACAGUAAGAGCUUGCUCUUACGGGUGGCGAGUGGCGGACGGGUGAGGAAUACAUCGGAAUCUACUUUUUCGUGGGUGAUAACGUAGGGACACUUACGCUAAUAGCGCAUACGACCUACGGGUGAAAGCAGGGGAUCUUCGGACCUUGCGCGAUUGUAUGAGCCGAUGUCGGAUUAGCUAGUUGGCGGGGUAAAGGCCCACCAAGGCGACGAUCCGUAGCUGGUCUGAGAGGAUGAUCAGCCACACUGGAACUGAGACACGGUCCAGACUCCUACGGGAGGCGGCAGUGGGGAAUAUUGGACAAUGGGCGAAAGCCUGAUCCAGCCAUACCGCGUGGGUGAAGAAGGCCUUCGGGUUGUAAAGCACUUUUGUUGGGAAAGAAAAGCAGCAGGUUAAUACCUCGCUGUUCUGACGGUACCCAAAGAAUAAGCACCGGCUAACUUCGUG